CCUACGGGGAGCAGCAGUGGGGGAUAUUGCACAAUGGGGGAAACCCUGAUGCAGCGACGCCGCGUGGGUGAAGAAGUAUUUCGGUAUGUAAAGCCCUAUCAGCAGGGAAGAAAGAAGACGGUACCUGACUAAGAAGCCCCGGCUAACUACGUGCCAGCAGCCGCGGUAAUACGUAGGGGGCGAGCGUUAUCCGGAUUCACUGGGUGUAAAGGGAGCGUAGACGGCCGUGCAAGCCAGGAGUGAAAGCCCGGGGCCCAACCCCGGGACUGCUCUUGGAACUGUGCGGCUGGAGUGCGGGAGGGGCAGGCGGAAUUCCUGGUGUAGCGGUGAAAUGCGUAGAUAUCAGGAGGAACACCGGCGGCGAAGGCGGCCUGCUGGACCGCGACUGACGUUGAGGCUCGAAAGCGUGGGGAGCGAACAGGAUUAGAUACCCUGGUAGUC
rnacentral:rRNA from 1 species